rnacentral:rRNA from 1 species
UACAGAGGGUGCGAGCGUUAAUCGGAAUUACUGGGCGUAAAGCGUGCGUAGACGGUUAUGUAAGUCAGAUGUGAAAGCCCCGGGCUCAACUUGGGAACUGCGUCUGAUACUGGAUGGCUUGAAUUCGGGAGAGGGAUGCAGAAUUCCAAGUGUAGCGGUGAAAUGCGUAGAUAUCUGGAGGAACACCGGUGGCGAAGGCGGCAUCCUGGACCGGUAUUGACGCUGAGGCGCGAAAGCUAGGGGAGCAAACGGG